GACGGCCAUACCGCCCCGAAUACACCGGUUGUUGUCCAAUCACCGAAGAAAAGCAGCAUUGGGCGCGAUCAGUACUUGGAUGGGUGACCGCCUGGGAACAACGCGU